CCUACGGGGGGCAGCAGUGGGGCAUAUUGGGCAAUGGGCGCAAGCCUGACCCAGCAACGCCGCGUGAAGGAAGAAGGCCUUCGGGUUUUAAACUUCUUUUGACCGGGAAGCGUAGAAGACGGUACCUGUCCAAUAAGCGACUCCUAAAUACGUGCCAGCAGCCGCGGUAAUACUGAGGAGGCAAGCGUUGUCCGGAUUUACUGGGUGUAAAGGGCGUGUAGGCGGGUUGACAAGUCAGAUGUUAAAUCCUUCGGCUUAACCGCAGGACUGCAGUUGAAACUGUUGAUCUUGAGUACGGGAGAGGCAGGCGGAAUGCGUGGUGUAGCGGUGAAAUGCGUAGAUAUCAGGAAGAACACCAGUGGCGAAGGCAGUAUACUGGACAGCGACUGACGGUGAGGCGCGAAAGCGUGGGGAGCGAACAGGAUUAGAUACCCUAGUAGUC
rnacentral:rRNA from 1 species